rnacentral:tRNA from 1 species
GGUUGUAUAGUGUAGCGGUUAGCACAUCGGAUUCUGAUCGCAUGGGGUGUAAGUCAUCUCAGUGAGAGAAUUCCGGUAACCCCGGUUCGAUUCCGGGUACGACCU